UGUGUUAGUGGAACAUCCUACACUCGUGUGUGUGUGUGUGUGUGUGUGCUUGUGCGUGUGCGUGCGUGUGUGUGGCUGUGUGUAUUGUUCAGUUACAGUCUGUUAUUAAGCCACUCACGGCAGCGGUAAUGUCUCAUGCCAUCAAUUGUUUUCUUCUAUUCGUUGAGGGUAUGCAUGAGAGCUUUGGCUGAAGUCAAUUCAUCCAUCCAUUAUCACAGCCGCUUAAUCCUCACCAGUGUCACGGGCGUGCAAGAGCCCGUCUUCAGGCAGGAGGCGGGAAGAGACUCCUUCUGGCAGGCAGGAGAACAGUUGCUUUUGGCCUGUAGUUUUACGACACCCAAGAACAGUGAAGCUGAACCUUUGCAAACAAAACUGGUUCGGCCAUGCAGAAACAAACUGGCACAAACAAGAAAUCCAAGAGUGAGGUGCUGGGGGUGCGAAUUGAGGAAGCUUCCAAAGAGGAAAUCGUGGCUGGCAGAGCGUGGUGAAAAGGGAACCGCCGACAAAGAAACUUAGAAAGAGAAAAUCAGAUGGGCAGAAAGAUUCACAACUAUAAUGUCUUACAACCCAGCAAAAAGCACUCGGCUGCGGUUAAUCAGCCAACUGGCAAUGAGUAAAAAAAAUUGACCUGGAAUGUCAUCUGAAGCAGAGGUGAGUGGCAAUCAGCAGUGAUGCAGUUCAAGCGGUGAUGGAGGAAGUGAUGCAGGAGAGAUUUUAGUCGGCCUUGCUUAGCCAAGAACCGAUGGGGAAGUAAAACUGAGAACACAAAACACCAAAUCCAUUCAUGAACAUGACACUGAAAAAGUUUGAACAUGAGUUCUUCCUGGGAGUGUCUGAACCAUUUCAUUGGCGAACAAUUCACAUUCCGACUUUGUUUAAUGUGCUGUUUAAUGUGCACUGGGACGUUUGUUUGCUCUUGGAUAUUUAGAAAGCAUGUUUUCUGCAAGUUGUGUUGUGACUGUACAGUAUUUUUGCAGAUCCUUUAUUUUGUCCUAGUGGGAGUGAUCAUGGCCUGAUGUCUCUCAGAAUUUAAGCUCGAGUUGUGAGAAUCUCAAGCUUUCUUCCAUGCCUUCUGCGUCCCCCCCCCCCCCAUACUUUCUUUUGGUACUUUGUAUUUUUGUGUCCUGGAUCCGUCCCUGCUCUCUGUUGUCACUUUGUAUUUUUGUAUAUAAAGACGCUCUGUUUUCCCACUUCCGUGUCCUGUCUGCUUCUAGGCCCAAAUUCCAUUCCUGAUGUGACAAGUUGUUUUUCCUGAAAAAGAUAAACUGCACCGUGGAAGUGUGGAGUACAUCUGAAAUUCUCUGAGGAAUGGGGUGAAAGGGAUUGGUCCGCCUUCAAUUUCACAUGCUAUGCCCUGACAUCUUUCUUAAUGCUCUUAAUGCAUCGGUCAGUGUCGUUUAUAUCAUGGUUUCUGCCAUUUCUCUGAAUGGUAGAGAGUAUUCUUCACACACCUUUCUCACCUGCAGCCAGAUGGGACCCUGACACGCACAAAAUGAGUUUGGGCGAUGAUUGAAGAACAGCCUGGGAAUCAAAAAUGACCAACAUAUUGUAGUAUCUUCCUCAAGAGCGAGUGCUUUCACUUAGAAUGACAUUGAAGAAGGAAGCAUGAUACAAUCCGAACCAGUCAGGGUCAUGGAAACAGCAACACACGUAAACGAUACAAAUAUAGCAAGAUGAGCAUCUUUUAUUGCACAAGUGACAGGUUUAUGUCUCCCUUCAUGUGUUUCUGUCUCCGUGUUUGCUUAAUAUAGGUGUCUGCUGGCUUUAUCCCAAAUGAGCGCUCCAUCUCAUAGCUAUCGCUUCGAUUCAAGCUGGAUAUUAGAAUUCAACACUUAUCAUCCUGCCGAGACCCAGGAAUAGUCAACCCCUGUGGCCUCAGCAAAUCAACAGGCAACGCUGAGACAAGCUACAGGUCCAGAAAAACCAGACAUGUGACACUCUUCAUCGAAUCUUCUGUUUAAAUAAGGUGAUGAACAAGUUAGGAGUCAGACUAAAUCGGGUGUGUGUUGUCGGUGGACCGAGUGGUAUUGAGAGCAUAUUUGUACUGGUGAAGGUAACGUUUGCAGCCUUGGAGAUUUACAGUUAAGUCGGUUUACCGAUGGAGUUUUUGAAGGGGUCGUUUGUGGGAUAUCAUGUUAUGGAGCCGAGUGGGUGAAAGACAAUUGGUUCGAAAUGACGCCAGCUGUUUGAGGCAAAGAAAAAGAGUAUUGUUGGCGUAAGAGCAGUUGCCCAGGUCAGUCAUGUCAAACACAGGAGGUGGUCUCACGGUCCUCCGGUACUGGCCUUUGCAAUACCCACAGUUAACUGUCUAAAAGCUACGGUGAGGUGUCGUUCCUGGUCAACGGCCCUCACCAGUGGAAUGACCUGCUGUACAGCAUCACGGCUGGAGAGAGCAUUGACAUUUUUAAAGGGAGGUUAUUUAUUUUUUUCGUUAUUAUUUUUCAGUGUUUCCUCAGUUUUCCUCUGUGACGUGAGCUGUGGGCUGUAGCCACGGAGGGUGCUGCCAUGCAUCUGUCGGGUGGAGGAGGCUUGGCUUCAGUCUUCUGCCUGUGGUCGUGACACCUCCGUCGGCAUGGGGCAGGGCAAUCCUUGUUUGGCAUCAUCUCUCAGGCUUCAGGCUGCUUGCAGCUUCUGUUGCUGACGAGCGUCCGUGAUGGCGCUUCUACUUCUUCUUCCAUCCACUCUGUGCUCAGCCUUAACUCAACAGCAUGACAUUGAAUAAAAUAACAAUUUUAAUUAUCUCCAUUUUCACCCUGCUAUAUAUACAGAACGUUAUAGGGGAAAGCACCAUCUGUUUUACUUUUACAUGCCCUUGACAGCUUGUGAAUGUGCUUUAAUGUGAGCGGAUGUUUUUUUUUCUGAACCAAGUCAGAAAAUCGCUAUGCAUGAAA